rnacentral:rRNA from 1 species
UACGGAGGGUGCGAGCGUUGUCCGGAAUCAUUGGGCGUAAAGGGCGCGUAGGCGGCGGGACAAGCGUGCGGUGAAAGCUCGGGGCUCAACCCCGAGUCGGCCGUGCGAACUGUUUUGCUUGAGCCCUGUAGAGGCAGGCGGAAUUCCGGGUGUAGCGGUGGAAUGCGUAGAGAUCCGGAAGAACACCGGUGGCGAAGGCGGCCGGCUGGGCAGGAGCUGACACUGAGGCGCGACAGCGUGGGGAGCAAACAGG